UACGUAGGGGGCAAGCGUUGUCCGGAAUCAUUGGGCGUAAAGCGCGUGUAGGCGGUUAUGUAAGUCUGCUGUGAAAAGUCGGAGGCUCAACCUUCGAAAGCCGGUGGAUACUGCGUGACUAGAGUACGGAAGAGGAGAGUGGAAUCCUGGUGUAGCGGUGAAAUGCGCAGAUAUCAGGAGGAACACCAACGCGAAGGCAGCUCUCUGGGACGUUACUGACGCUGAGAGCGAAAGCGUGGGGAGCAA
rnacentral:rRNA from 1 species